CGUCUAUAUACGUAUAGCAUAUCAAUAAGCGGAGGAAAAGAAACUAACUAGGAUUCCCUCAGUAACGGCGAGUGAAGCGGGAAGAGCUCAAAUUUGAAAUCUUCAAGGUUUUACCUUGACGAAUUGUAGUUUAAAGAAGUGUUUUCUGUUGGAGUUUUGGUAAAAGUUCUUUGGAAUAGGACAUCAUAGAGGGUGAGAAUCCCGUAUUUGACCAUUAUUUCCAACUUUGUGAUACACUUUCAAAGAGUCGGAUUGUUUGGGAAUGCAGUCCAAAAUGGGUGGUAAAUUUCAUCUAAAGCUAAAUACUGGCGAGAGACCGAUAGCGAACAAGUACCGUGAGGGAAAGAUGAAAAGAACUUUGAAAAGAGAGUUAAACAGUACGUGAAAUUGUCAAAAGGGAAGCGUUUGACACCAGUGUUGUUUUCUCGAAAAUCAAUUAAAAAUGGCGGGAUUUUGUGUUGUAUUGACUUUAUCAGCUUUCUGCACUUUUUUCUUAUCUUUUUUAAUGCACUUUUCGUUUAACAAGUCAACAUCAAUUUCUUUUGUUGUAGAAGAGGUCAUUGGAAGGUGGCUUUCUUUUCGGAGAAAGUGUUUAUAGCCUUUGACUUCUGCAGUCGGAGAGAUUGAGGUCUGCAGCGUAGAUCCUUCGGGGUUAGAUGCAUUUGUGCUAAGUUAUAGCCUUUCAUAGACAACUUGUUGACUAUGAUCAGUCAUGUAGCUUACUCGCUUAUGUUAUUUUACCUACGCUUAGGAUGUUGAUCUGUAGUGCGUGCGC
rnacentral:rRNA from 1 species